UGCCCUAGUAACGGCGAGUGAAGCGGCAACAGCUCAAAUUUGAAAUCUGGCUCUUUUAGGGUCCGAGUUGUAAUUUGCAGAGGGCGCUUUGGCGUUGGCAGCGGUCCAAGUUCUUUGGAACAGGACGUCACAGAGGGUGAGAAUCCCGUACGUGGUCGCUAUCCUUCGCCGUGUAAAGCCCCUUCGACGAGUCGAGUUGUUUGGGAAUGCAGCUCUAAAUGGGAGGUAAAUUUCUUCUAAAGCUAAAUAUUGGCCAGAGACCGAUAGCGCACAAGUAGAGUGAUCGAAAGAUGAAAAGCACUUUGGAAAGAGAGUCAAAUAGCACGUGAAAUUGUUGAAAGGGAAGCGCUUGCAGCCAGACUUGCCUGUAGUUGCUUAUCCGGACUUUUGUCCGGUGCACUCUUCUAUAGGCAGGCCAGCAUCAGUUUAGGCGGUUAGAUAAAGGUCUCUGUCACGUACCUCUCUUCGGGGAGGCCUUAUAGGGGAGACGACAUGUAACCAGCUUAGACUGAGGUCCGCGCAUCUGCUAGGAUGCUGGCGUAAUGGCUGUAAGCGGCCCGUCUUGAAACACGGACCAAGGAGUCUAACAUCUAUGCGAGUGUUUGGGUGUCAAGCCCAGACGCGUAAUGAAAGUGAACGGAGGUAGGAACCCUUUGGGUGCACUAUCGACCGAUCCUGAUGUCUUCGGAAGGAUUUGAGUAAGAGCAUGGCUGUUGGGACCCGAAAGAUGGUGAACUAUGCUUGAAUAGGGUGAAGCCAGAGGAAACUCUGGUGGAGGCUCGCAGCGGUUCUGACG
rnacentral:rRNA from 1 species